GUGCCCUUUUAAGGCUGACCCAGUGUCUUAAGAGGCUAACACAGAAGGGUAAAGUAAGUCAGUCUCCAUAAAACCCAGAGAAGAGAUUGUAAAACUCUUCUUUGGAUCCUGUCUGGAGUCACAGCU
ensembl:snoRNA